GGGGAUGACAGGUUUCGACGGGGAAGGUUGAUUGUGGAUGGCGAGCCGGGGAGGCUCCGUUCCCGUGACCCCAGGAGCAAACCAACAAGUGCCAACUCUAUGGCCAAUAGCUGGGCCCCUGUGGCCGUCGCUGCGUAAGCAGUUAAGCCCAAGGUAACCCAAACACUGAUCGGGAGAACCGAUCACGCCCCUCUGGCAUUUCGCUAGUGUGCUAGAGUCGGGUGCCAGAUAAUUAGCGUGCUGCCUCUCAGACGCCGAUAAGUGAGGUCAAGAUCUGUCGGCUGGUUCAGGAACGGCGCGGUCAGCGGCGACCCCCUGAACGAGAACGAAACUGCUGACUACGCUCGUAGAGGUUCACCGUCGAAUUCUUCGGACGCGGGUUCGAUUCCCGCCAUCUCCACAC
rnacentral:tmRNA from 1 species